UACGGAGGGUGCGAGCGUUGUCCGGAAUCACUGGGCGUAAAGGGCGCGUAGGCGGCCUGGUAAGUAGGGGGUGAAAUCCUGCGGCUUAACCGCAGGGCUGCCUUCUAAACUGUCAGGCUCGAGCACGGUAGAGGCAGAUGGAAUUCCCGGUGUAGCGGUGGAAUGCGUAGAGAUCGGGAAGAACGUCAGUGGCGAAGGCGGUCUGCUGGGCCGUUGCUGACGCUGAGGCGCGACAGCGUGGGGAGCAAACAGG
rnacentral:rRNA from 1 species